AGUGGAAUUGCCAGGUCCUAUGGCCACUCUAUCUUUUGGAUAUUACAAGACUGAUUUUCAAAGUGGCUACACCAUUGUACACUCCCACCUGCAGU
rnacentral:pre_miRNA from 1 species